AGUCUGAGGUUCAGUCUUUGCCAUCAGCUCACUACCACCAUCCUCUCCACCAUCCUGGUGGCUACUGUUGCCUCCAUGCCACUCAGGUACAGGAGUAGCUCAGGCCCGUGCACCCUUCCCACCUGCUUACCUCCUCAACACGUGAGCAUCUUAGCAUUGUGACGCUACAGUGGGCCAGGGUGAUCACCACCUCGCUCCUCAGCAGUGGGCACCCGGUGACCCUCUGGUUGGCAAAUGAGCCCUUCUUGAGGGGCUACUUCCUAGGCCCAUAUCUGAUACCAGCUGUCUCAGCCUGGGUCCCCUAGAAGCAGCCCCUGAGAAUAUGAUUUGAGAAUGAGUCCUUUAUUUGGGAAGUGAUCCCAGGAAACACCAAUUUGGGAGCAGGUGAGAUGGAGAGGGGGAGGAAGCCGUAAGGAAGGGUGCAUUCAUAAUCUGGUCACUUCUGCAGGCAACUAUGGCUCAAUUCUGCUGGGACCCUCCAGGCAACUGUGAGGAUGUGCUUCAGUGUUCUCCAACUGAGGCUGGGUUCCCAGGAGGCUGAUUCUGAGGCAGAGAACAUGCAGGAAGUUGGUUAGAGGCUGCUCUUGGGAUCAACGCCUUUGGAAGAGAAUGGAAUGGAGGCAAGCAGGAUUGGGCUGAGGGAGAAGCUGACCUGGGAUGCCAGCCCCCACGGGGAGCUCGGAAGAGGAGGAUGGCCACUCUCUUUCCUGCCUGGGGACCUUCUCUGGCCACAAGGGAGCAGGCACAACCCAGCCAUGCUCAGGAGGUGAUGCUGCGGGCAGCGGACAGAUAACCCAUCAACUUCAUCUCUGUGGACGACUCCUGGGUGAGUUCCACGUGGUUCCUCAGGCGGUCACUGGCAGGAGAGAGCCCUACUCACCCCCCCGUGGUGAGACCUACUUGUUAGAGCACUUUCUGGAACUUUCUCCUCCCCUGCCUAGUUCCUCACUUCCUGGAAUACCUGCUUGCCCCCAAACCCUUGUUUCAGGGUCUGCUUUUGAGGGAACUCCAACCAAGAUGGGCCCAGUGGAGAUGAAGAGGCUGAAAAUAAAGGAGAGUGUGCAGGGAGGAGCAGGGUCCCCGGAGGCCUAGGAGGCUGACGGCAUUGGACGUUCAGAGGGAGAGCUGCAUUAGGCAGAAGGGGUGAUGGUGUUACUUGUGGGGUAAACAUGGACACUUCUGGGGGUGGGCUGCAGGAGGACGAGGAAUUUGCUUUCUGAUUGCAUCUGGUUUCUCUGUGAGGAAGGAGGCGAGAUUAUCACUGAGGGUGAGGGUGGCUGAGGAGAUGAACAACUUGAGGAGAGUGGAGAAGGCCUCGAUGGAGAAGCAGAGAGCAGCCUAGGAAAAUGGAGACGCCCUUCCCAAAGGGUUGGGGGUCAGGGGCCUGGUGGACUGUGAGCUUCUGGAACCAUCUGCACCCCCGUAAGACCAUCUCCGUCAACACUCAGCAUCCCUGUGGAGGGGCUGAAUGUACAGUGGGUUGGACUAGACGCCUUUCAUGGGGUCUGCCCGAUUCACCACUUUUUUGUCUCUACCAACCAUGCCCUCAGCCUCCACAGGGGUUAUUUCUGGUACAACUCUGCUCCCAAGCCCAGGGGUGGUCAUUGGAUCCAAGUUUACCUAAUCCCUCUCCCAGGGAGAAUCUCGUUCUCAAUUUCAACUAUGCCCCUGUGAUGAGCUGGGCCCUGGGGACACAGCAGUGGAUAAGAGACAAGACCCCUGUCCUCAUGGACCAUACAGCCCAAGGUGGGUGAGGGACAAUAACCAAAUAAACAAAGAAUCCAAAGAAUUGGGGGUCGAGCAU